rnacentral:tRNA from 1 species
GGGCCUAUAGCUCAGUUGGCAGAGCGCGCCCCUGAUAAGGGCGAGGUCCCUGGUUCAAAUCCAGGUAGGCCCA